rnacentral:rRNA from 1 species
CAGCAGCCGCGGUAAUACGUAGGUCCCGAGCGUUGUCCGGAUUUAUUGGGCGUAAAGCGAGCGCAGGCGGUUAGAUAAGUCUGAAGUUAAAGGCUGUGGCUUAACCAUAGUACGCUUUGGAAACUGUUUAACUUGAGUGCAAGAGGGGAGAGUGGAAUUCCAUGUGUAGCGGUGAAAUGCGUAGAUAUAUGGAGGAACACCGGUGGCGAAAGCGGCUCUCUGGCUUGUAACUGACGCUGAGGCUCGAAAGCGUGGGGAGCAAACAGGAUUAGAGACCCCGGUAGUCCCUGUCUCUUAUACC